GAAAGUGGAGGGAGUGAUGGAGAAG
rnacentral:miRNA from 1 species